UACGGAGGGGGCUAGCGUUGUUCGGAAUUACUGGGCGUAAAAGGGCGCGUAGGCGGCCUGCUAAGUCGAACGUGAAAUCCCCUGGGCUCAACCCAGGAACUGCGUCCGAUACUGGUUGGCUUGAAUCCGGGAGAGGGAUGUGGAAUUCCAGGUGUAGCGGUGAAAUGCGUUAGAUAUCAGGAGGAACACCGGUGGCGGAAGGCGCCACUCUGGGCCGGCACUGACGCUGAGGAGCGAAAGCGUGGGUAGCAAACAGG
rnacentral:rRNA from 1 species